rnacentral:lncRNA from 1 species
AAUGACAAGAAGUGUCCACACGAUGGCAGCAGAGACCGUGAAAUAAAAUGAGGUGUAAUUACAAGAAGUGUCCACACGGUGGCAGCAGAGAGAGCGGAAUUAAAUUAAGUUUAUUGACGUUAAUUGGAUGUUGAGUGCUGGGACAGUGGGUGAUUAGCUGGUUGUAAGAGAACGCGAGGAUUGAAUGGAAUCAAGUCCAAGUGUGGGACGGGAUGUGUGGGACUGGAUGUGUGGGUCCAGGAAUGUGUGGGGCUGGAUGUGUGGGUCCAGGAAUGUGUGGGGCUGGAGGUCUUGGGUGUGGGGCUGAAGGACCUAUUUGUGGGGCUGGAGAACAUUUGUGUGCGGCGGGACGUGUGGGUCCAGGGACGUGUGGGUCCAGGGACGUGUGGGCCCAGGGACGUGUGGGCCCAGGGACGUGUGGGCCCAGGGACGUGUGGGAGGCUGGAUGUGUGGGUCCUGAUCUAUGGGGCUGGAUGUGUGCGGCUGGAUGUAUGGGUCCAGGAAUGUGUGGGUCCCGGAAUGUGUGGGGCCGCAUCUAUGAUGGUGGAUCUAUGGGGCUGGAUGUGUGGGUCCAGAUCUAUGGGGCUGGAUGCGUGGGGCAGGAUCUGUGGGUCCGCAUGUGUGGGUCCAGGAAUGUGUGGGGCAGGAUCUAUGGGGCAGGAAUGUGUGGGGCUGCAUGUGUGGGUCCAGGAAUGUGUGGGCCCAGGAGUGGGUUGAUUGAGAUCUAUGGUGCUGCAGGUGUGGGGCAGGAGGACCUUGUUGUGGGGCUGGAAGACACUGGAGGUGUGGGGCUGGAGGUGUGGGGCUAUACACGCUGUACUCUAAAUGUAAUAAAUCUACACGAUAUCCACUACAUAUACACAAAAAAAUACACAGAAUUCUCUCAAUAUACACAAUAUAAAAGAAGGAAACACUCCAUAUACACCAUGUGCACUCAAUAUAGAUGAUGUGCACUCACUAUACACCAUGAACACUGAAUAGACAUGAUACACUAACUACACACUACAUACACACCAUGUACACACUACA